rnacentral:rRNA from 1 species
CAUCGGCUAACUCCGUGCCAGCAGCCGCGGUAAUACGGGGGAUGCAAGCGUUAUCCGGAAUCAUUGGGCGUAAAGCGCCUGUAGGUUGUUUAUUAAGUCUGUUGUUAAAGCCUAGGGCUUAACCCUAGAGAAGCAGUGGAAACUGGUAGACUAGAGUAUGGCAGGGGUAGAGGGAAUUUCUAGUGUAGCGGUGAAAUGCGUAGAUAUUAGAAAGAACACCAGCGGCGAAGGCGCUCUACUGGACCAUCACUGACACUCAGAGGCGAAAGCUAGGGUAGCAAAAGGGAUUAGAUACCCCUGUAGUCCUAGCCGUAAACGAUGGAUACUAGAUGUUGUGUUUAUUUCACAGUGUCGCAGCUAACGCGUUAAGUAUCCCGCCUGGGGAGUACGCUCGCAAGGGUGAAACUCAAAGGAAUUGACGGGGGCCCGCACAAGCGGUGGAGCAUGUGGUUUAAUUCGAUGCAACGCGAAGAACCUUACCAGGGCUUGACAUACUACAGAUCUUUUUGAGAAAGAAGAGUGCCUUCGGGAAUGUAGAUACAGGUGGUGCAUGGCUGUCGUCAGCUCGUGUCGUGAGAUGUUGGGUUAAGUCCCGCAACGAGCGCAACCCUUAUUUUUAGUUACCAACUUGUUGGGUUCUCUAGAAAGACUGCCGGUGACAAACCGGAGGAAGGUGAGGAUGACGUCAAGUCAGCAUGCCCCUUAUGUCCUGGGCUACACACGUGCUACAAUGGCUAAGACAAAGAGUUGCGAGUUCGUGAGAACCAGCUAAUCUCGUAAACUUAGCCCAAGUUCAGAUUGUAGGCUGCAACUCGCCUACAUGAAG